rnacentral:rRNA from 1 species
AGAACGAACGCUGGCGGCGUGGAUAAGACAUGCAAGUCGAACGGAAUAGCUUGGUAGCAAUAUUAAGUUAUUUAGUGGCGAACGGGUGCGUAACACGUGGGUCACAUUCCGGGAAGUAGGGAAUAGCCCAGGGAAACUUGGAUUAAUGCCCUAUGUGAUCGAAAGAUCAAAGGCGCAAGCCGCUUCCUGAUUGGCCCGCGGCCUAUCAGCUUGUUGGUGAGGUAAUGGCUCACCAAGGCUACGACGGGUAGCUGGUCUAAGAGGACGACCAGCCACACUGGAACUGAGACACGGUCCAGACACCUACGGGUGGCAGCAGUCGAGAAUCUUUCACAAU